CGGGGCGGCCCCCCGGGAAGCCGGUGGUGGCUUUGGAAGCUGGAAGCUUACAGCUUACCUGGCCUGUUCAGUCAGCUGCAGAGCCUCGUGCACAACCUCAGGGAAGAUCCUGCGGUCACUCAUGUGCUUACUCCGGCACUUCACAGCUAAAGUAGGAUCCAGUGAAAGCCUCAACUCUCUACUUGGCAGUGCCACUCAAGACAAUCUGUUGCUUCCUUCAGGCCUCCUCCCAAAGCAGAGAAAUUAGCUGAGAUACCUGCCUCUGAGCAACUCUCUUCUGCUUAUUGUCAGAAGUCAAGGAUUUGGCUGCAUUUGAGUAGAGGUCUCUGAAACAAUCUCUUUGGGCUGCAUAGACUUCACAACAUCUAUGUGCAUCUUCUGUUGCCAGUGAUAAGACUUUCUAAUAUUUUAGAUGAAUUAUCUAUAUACUCCUAUUAUGAAACUUUGUGGUAAGUGUCAUUAUUUUUAUUUUAUACACAAAGAGAUUAAAGUUGAAGCAUUUAAUUGUUCAGAGUUGUGUAGUUAAUAAAUUUGAAAAAGAAAAAAGAACUCA
rnacentral:lncRNA from 1 species